GCGGUGAGCAUGUGGUUUAAUUCGACGUAACGCGAAGAACCUUACCAGGGCUUGACAUCUUCUGACUGCUUAAGGAACUUAAGCCUUCGGGGAGUUUACUUUCCGGACAGAAAGACAGGUGGUGCAUGGUUGUCGUCAGCUCGUGUCGUGAGAUGUUGGGUUAAGUCCCGCAACGAGCGCAACCCUCGACCUUAGUUGCCAGCAUUCAGUUGGGCACUCUAAGGUGACUGCCGGCUAAAAGUCGGAGGAAGUGGGGAUGACGUCAAAUCAUCAUGCCCCUUAUGACCUGGGCUACACACGUGCUACAAUGGGCGGUACAAAGGGUCGCGAACCCGCGAGGGGGAGCCAAUCCCAAAAAGCCGCUCUCAGUUCGGAUUGCAGGCUGCAACUCGCCUGCAUGAAGCCGGAAUCGCUAGUAAUCGCGGAUCAGCAUGCCGCGGUGAAUACGUUCCCGGGCCUU
rnacentral:rRNA from 1 species